rnacentral:rRNA from 1 species
AACGAACGCUGGCGGCGUGCCUAACACAUGCAAGUCGAACGGGAUUCGGAGCUUGCUCCGAUGAGAGUGGCGCACGGGUGAGUAACGCGUAGAUAAUCUGCCUGAUGAUCUGGGAUAACAGUUCGAAAGGACUGCUAAUACCGGAUAAGCCCACGGAGACCUUGGUCUUUGCGGGAAAAGGGGGGGACCUUCGGGCCUUCCGUCAUCAGAUGAGUCUGCGUACCAUUAGCUAGUUGGUAGGGUAAAGGCCUACCAAGGCGACGAUGGUUAGCUGGUCUGAGAGGAUGAUCAGCCACACUGGAACUGAGACACGGUCCAGACUCCUACGGGAGGCAGCAGUGGGGAAUUUUGCGCAAUGGGGGAAACCCUGACGCAGCAACGCCGCGUGAGUGAUGAAGGCUCUUGGGUCGUAAAGCUCUGACAGAGGGAAAGAAGUGUAUGGUGGUUAAUACCCAUUGUACUUGACGGUACCCUCAAAGGAAGCACCGGCUAACUCCGUGCCAGCCGCCGCAGUAAAAC